AGCAAACAGGAUUAGAUACCCUGGUAGUCCACGCCCUAAACGAUGAAUGCUAGUCGUCGGAAAGCUCGUCUUUUCGGUGAUGCAGUUAACACAUUAAGCAUUCCGCCUGGGGAGUACGGUCGCAAGAUUAAAACUCAAAGGAAUAGACGGGGACCCGCACAAGUGGUGGAGCAUGUGGUUUAAUUCGAAGAUACGCGAAGAACCUUACCUGGCCUUGACAUUGAUAGAAUCUGGCAGAGAUGCCGGAGUGCCUUUCGGGGAACUUGAAAACAGGUGCUGCACGGCUGUCGUCAGCUCGUGUCGUGAGAUGUUGGGUUAAGUCCCGCAACGAGCGCAACCCUCGUCCUUAGUUGCUAACAGGUUAAGCUGAGCACUCUAAGGAGACUGCCUUCGCAAGGAGGAGGAAGGUGAGGACGACGUCAAGUCAUCAUGGCCCUUACGGCCAGGGCUACACACGUGCUACAAUGGGGCGUACAGAGAGUUGCGAUACCGCGAGGUGGAGCCAAUCUCACAAAGCGUCUCUCAGUUCGGAUUGUUCUCUGCAACUCGAGAACAUGAAGCUGGAAUCACUAGUAAUCGUAGAUCAGCAACGCUACGGUGAAUACGUUCCCGGGUCUUGUACUCACCGCCCGUCACACCAUGGGAGUUGAUUUCGCCCGAAGCGGGGAUGCCAAACUGGCUACCCUCUACGGCGGAAUUAGCGACUGGGGUGAAGUCGUAACAAGGUA
rnacentral:rRNA from 1 species